CGGCCCAUGUCGUGUUGAGAAAUAAUAAUCCUACAUCGGAUAGACUAAGAAUCCUUGUGGUGCUUAUAAUUUCUUUGAGCCAACCAUUAAAUGCCCGAGUUUAUUUUGCACACUCCCAACUUAAAUGAAUGUUUGGAUAUAGGAAAUACACCUCGCCUCGAUUGUACGAGAUUUAAGAUUUUUUUUUUUGUUUUUCAGCUAGAUUAUUGUUGUUGUAACUACGGUGCCAGGUGAGAUAGUGUCCAAUUUAGAAAUUGGCCUUCUAGUUGCUUGUCUAGUGGACGAGUUUCACAAGAAUGAGAACAA
rnacentral:lncRNA from 1 species